rnacentral:miRNA from 1 species
UGAGGUUAUAGUUUCUU